GGCCCCGAGGUGUAUAACAUGCAAGAUUGCAAAUCUUGAGACGCCGAAUAAACUUGGCCGGGGCUU